UAAUACGAAGGGGGCAAGCGUUGUUCGGAUUUACUGGGCGUAAAGGGCGCGCAGGCGGUUCAUCAAGUCGGGUGUGAAAGCCCCGGGCUCAACCUGGGAAUUGCACUCGAGACUGAAGAACUCGAGUUCGGGAGAGGAUGGCGGAAUUCCCAGUGUAGAGGUGAAAUUCGUAGAUAUUGGGAAGAACACCGGUGGCGAAGGCGGCCAUCUGGACCGAGACUGACGCUGAGGCGCGAAAGCGUGGGGAGCAAACAGGAUUAGAUACCCUGGUAGUCCACGCCGUAAACGAUGUGUGCUAGACGUCGGGAAGCCUAGCUUUUCGGUGUCGCAGCUAACGCUUUAAGCACACCGCCUGGGGAGUACGGCCGCAAGGUUA
rnacentral:rRNA from 1 species